UACGAAGGGUGCAAGCGUUAUCCGGAUUCACUGGGUUUAAAGGGUGCGUAGGUGGGUUGAUAAGUCAGUGGUGAAAUCCCCGAGCUUAACUUGGGAACUGCCAUUGAUACUAUUGAUCUUGAAUACCGUGGAGGUCAGCGGAAUAUGUCAUGUAGCGGUGAAAUGCUUAGAUAUGACAUAGAACACCAAUUGCGAAGGCAGCUGGCUACGCGAAUAUUGACACUGAUGCACGAAAGCGUGGGGAUCAAACAGG
rnacentral:rRNA from 1 species